rnacentral:lncRNA from 1 species
GUAUAGCACUCCGGAGCAGUAUUGGAGAGGUUUAGUGUGUGUUAAGGACGCUGUGCUUUGGCAUUAUUAAGACCGGGGACAGUCUUGUGCACACACUGUCACGUACACACACUCUCAAGUGGCCAAGACUGCAAGUGUGGGUAUCUGGACAGGGUCAAAGUCUUAAAAAUGAUCCCUAAACACAGUCGCACAUCACAGUCUUAAUAAUCCAGUUUAACACUUGUAUGAUAUUGUACAAGCCCCAGGACGGUCUCAUCUGACACUAUCAAAAGAAUUCAUAUGACUAUAGCUUGUUAUUAAUUACUUGCUUUCAAUAAUGGAUUCAUUUAACAUUUAAUUAUACAGCAUCUUUACAGAGGUGUAAUGUACAAGCUGCACGUAAUUAAUAAUAUGUCCUUCCUUCUGUCUUACAGGAUUUUUUCCAGAUAAUGCUGUUCUUCUUUUUCAGGUCUAAAAUAUCGAGCUCAACAGCUAUUUUAAGAGCCAACCCUCACAAACCUUCCUAAAAACUAAAAGAGCUAUUACUGAGUCUCAGCGAAUCUUGCCAUGAUCAGCUCUUCCCAGAAGAGAAGGAAGACCAAGGAUAUGAUUUGCUCAGGAUGAGGAAUGAAGAUGGCCAUCUUGAGCUCAAACAAACAGAAGUCCUCUGAUGAUCUCAUCAGCCAAAUGAGGGGUUUUGACCAAGUGAUGCUCUUGAAAGGAGUGAAAGAAGAGGAUGUGGUAAAUUGUCUUCAGAGAAAAGCUUCUCAAAAGAUCUUAAAACAGCUUGAAGAAUGGUCUGGGAUCUUAGGACUGAGAGAUCCUCUGGCUGAGAACAAGCUACACCACAUCAGUGCUGGACAUCAACCACAAACUGUUUCCAGACACGAGAGAAGAAGAUCACGAUGGGGAGAUGAAACCAGUUUAGAUGUGAUGAUGGGAAUCAUUAUUUUCUGGAACAGUAUCACAUGUCUUAUAUGUAUCACAUGAUCUGUAUCACAGUUGACUGGAUGGGACUGUGUGACUUUUAAGGACAUUUCAUCACUCAUCUGUGUGAACUGAUUUAUAUAUGAGGUUAAUGUAUCUUUGAUGAUAAUUAUUUUCAUUGAAUCUUAUUUGUCUUGAUGCUACUUUAUCAACUUUAUAGUCUAUGCUUCAAUAAAAUGAAAAUGGUGAAUAUUGUGUUCUGAAGAUUCUUGGUAAAUACAUCAUUUUACUAGGUAGGCUCAUAUGUGUUUAUUUUAGACUUGGAAAAACAACAUAUUAAUUAUUGGUAUUAUUUUUUUAUUUAAGACAUAAACAUUUUUGAUCGGAUUAAUAACAUCUGGGACAUCAGUACACCAGAAAGUAAUUUUUUAUAUUUUAGUAACAAAUAUGCAAAUUUUUUGUGAAAUACAGGGAGUUACAAGAUUAAUUAUUCUGCAUUACAAGAUGGUGCCAUGGGCUUUAUUGUUACAAGCACUUGAGGGAUAACUGAGAAUGUAGCAGGAAUGAUCAACGUGGAUCUUGUACUGCAUUAAAACCAAGAGCACGCACAUGAUGUCCAGCACCUGAGGAGCAAGAUACGGGGGUGAGGAGGACAUUUUUACACUGAUUUCGGCUAAUUAGUUAUAUAUAAUGCUAAU